rnacentral:ncRNA from 1 species
AGAAGCCGUAUGAGGUGAAAGUCUCAUGUACGGUUUUGAAGACGAGCAGGUUCAAUAAAGGGUAACCGGAAAUGAACUUGCUUAGUUUAAC